CAGAACUAACGCUGGUGGCGUGUCUUAGUCAUGCAAGUCGAACGAGAAAGCGUCCUUCGGGGCGCGAGUACAGUGGCGAACGGGUGAGUAAUACGUGGGCAACCUGCCUCCGAGUGGGGGACAACCCCUUUAACGAGGGGCUAAUACCGCAUAAAACGGCUUUUUCGCAUGGAAUUGCCGUCAAAGGUGGCCUCUGCUUGCAAGCUGCCGCUUGGAGAUGGGCCCGCGGUCCAUUAGUUUGUUGGUGAGGUAACGGCUCACCAAGGCGAUGAUGGAUAGCCGGCCUGAGAGGGUGAUCGGCCACACUGGAACUGAGACAAGGUCCAGUCCCUUACGGGGGCCAGCAGUCUAGAAAUUUGGGCAAUGGGGGAAACCCUGACCCAGCGACGCCAUGUGGAGGAUGAAGCCCUUAGGGGUGUAAACUCCUGUCAGAGGGGAAGAACGUGAAGAGGUCAAUACCCUCUUCAUCUGACGGUACCCUCAGAGGAAGCUCCGGCUGACUUCGUGCCAGCAGCCGCGGUAAUAC
rnacentral:rRNA from 1 species